rnacentral:rRNA from 1 species
GAAUAGUGGCAGACGGCUGAGUAAUACAUUGGUACCUACCCCAAAGUGGGGGAUAGCUCAUCGAAAGAUGGGGUAAUCCCGCAUGUGCUCUAACGAGUAAAGCUUCGGCGCUUUGGGAAGGGCCUUUGUCCUAUCAGUUUGUUGGUGAGGUAAUGGCUCACCAAGACGAUGACGGGUAGCUGGAUCGAGAGGUCGACCAGCCAGACUGGGACUGAGACACGGCCCAGACUCC